rnacentral:misc_RNA from 1 species
UCCGAUUUGAAUAUCGGCAGUCUCGCUAGAGUGCCCGGCCGAACCGCUGGCAACUAACGACAAGGGUUGCGCUCGUUGCGGGACUUAACCCAACACCUCACGGCACGAGCUGACGACAGCCAUGCAGCACCUCUACUAGCGUCCCUUGCGGGAAGGCGAUGUUUCCACCGCUGGUCGCUAGCGGUUCAAGCCCAGGUAAGGUUCUUCGCGUUGCGUCGAAUUGAACCACAUGUUCCACCGCUUGUGCGGGCCCCCGUCAAUUCCUUUGAGUUUCAGUCUUGCGACCGUACUCCCCAGGUGCAGGACUUAACGCGUUAGCUCCGGGACGCUCCACGAACGUGAAGCACCCCAAGUCCUGAUCGUUUAGGGCUAGGACUAC